GUGUGUGUGUGUUUAAUGGUUGUAAUGGUUUGCUUUUGGGUGGAAUUUCCUGUCGGGGGAAAAUAUUAAGCAGAUGAGAGGUCGCACUUUCAAAACCAAUUAGACAUGAAGCCACUGAGGUUUUUUUUAGUUUUAAUUGGAAACAUGUUGGAAAGUUUCACUGUGAGAAAAUCUGUCUGCUGGUAACUGUGUGUGUGUGUGCGUGUGUAUGUGUGUUAGGCCUGAUUGUUGAUAAUGUGACUCAACAUGUUUGUUUAUGUGUGAUUUUUUUUGGUCUGUAUUUUGUUGUGUUUUUCAUCAUUCCCCAGGUGAAGAUGUUUCAGAGACAUCUCGCAGCCCUGUGGUGUGUAUGUGUGUUUGUAGAGGUGGUGUAGGCCUACAGUAUGUGGUAAUAUCUGCAGUUCCACAACAACUGAGGAGGAAAAUCAUGUGAUAUGAUGAAAAGCUCCACAACUGGAGCUAAAUGGACCCUGAGAAAUCUAAACUUGAUGGAUCUGUCUUCUUCUGUCCUCACAUGUGAGUAUAAAACAGAUGGAUGAGUUGGGAACAUCUGCUCACCGUCAGCGCUGAGGGCCCACAUGUCAACACACACACAUGCAGCACUGUGUGUGUUGUUGUACAUGUGAUAAGACGUGUCAUCUGUCUGCAGCUGACCUUCCACUGCUUCACUUUUAUUAUUUUAUCUUCUCUGCUUUUUUUUCCAAGGAUAUUUUCAAAUUUAUUUUUAUGUGUGUUUGUUUGAAAUUUUAAUUAUUUCAUUUUUGAGUACCAAAACAUUGUUAUAGAA